rnacentral:lncRNA from 1 species
AUAACUUUAUUGGGUUUGUAUAUUUUUUUAGUCAUUUGAAAAUCUAGGGUUUGUUCUUUAAAAAUCCCUCUUUUUUCGGCAGUUGCUCGUUGUGGCUGCUUUAAAAAUCCAUAACUUUAUUGGGUUUUGUUGGUUGAUCUUUUCACCCAUAAUAAUUACACCAUUCUUGCAGCUUAUCAAUUGAAUACAUGGAGAAAUAACUGAAACUCAGUUGAUGAUUUUUGGGAGGAUCAUUAAUUUUAUGCAAAAUCUUAUUGAUUGAAUUGUGAUGCAGUGAUGUUUUAAGCUGUUAAAAGAUAUGGGUCAAUUUAGAAAAUAAUUUUUUAGCUUAGAUAAUUUUGUAUUGAUAUGUUCCUUACACCUUGUGUUUGGGCUUUGCAGUGAUGUGGAUGCAACAAUGCUAGGUUGCAUUGCAUUCUCAUGCCCGAAUUUGAGGUGGGGCUAGGAUAGGGCGAUCAUUUAAUAGGCCAACUAAUUAGAAUUUGAUGCC